UACAGAGGUCUCAAGCGUUGUUCGGAUUCAUUGGGCGUAAAGGGUGCGCAGGCGGCGGGGCAAGUCGGACGUGAAAUCCCGGGGCUUAACCCCGGAACUGCGUUCGAUACUGCCCUGCUCGAGGACUGGAGAGGAGACUGGAAUUCCUGGUGUAGCAGUGAAAUGCGUAGAUAUCAGGAGGAACGCCAAUGGCGAAGGCAAGUCUCUGGGCUGACACUGACGCUCAUGCACGAAAGCGUGGGGAGCAAACAGG
rnacentral:rRNA from 1 species